rnacentral:misc_RNA from 1 species
CUCUGCUGUGUAUACAUGGUACAGAGGCUGGAAGGGAAGAAGAGGACCAGUGCACUGUCUUACAGCAGUCCAGUCAGCAUAGAUCCUGUAUGCUGAUUCCAAGUGACCAGCAGCUAAGCGGUCAAUCUCCCGCACGGAUUAUGUGAAUAGCCUGUUGAUUCCUGGAGUUGUACUUUAAUUAUUAACCUAUCUGUGGAUUGAUGUGUGCUUAGUUCUGUGGAUACUAAUUGUUUACCUGGAUCUGGGAACAAAAUCAUCAACCAAUCAGGGGAUUUUAUACCUACAGGUAGGAUGUUUCACAAGAGGACAAAGAGAAGACAUUCCAAACAAGACCUAUAGCGGUCAGUCAGAUAGUGUUUAAACAUGUCAUAACCACACAGAUUCAUUCCUUCAUCAGUUGUUCUUCGCAAAGACAAACAAGAUGGCUGCAUUCCAAAACCUCGUACCUACAUUGCUUUUAUUUAUAAAUAUUCCGUCUUCUCUGCUGGAGAGAAUAGUGGACCGUCCACCCCAAGUGAUCCAGCAACCGAGCCCCAUUCCGUACCGGGACUGCCCCGAGUGUACCCAAGGCGACCGGGUCCUCGUAUACUUUAAAGUGGGUGACACAAUAACCCUGACCUGUCAGGCCAGUGGUCGGCCUGCACCAGAAUACACAUGGACGAAAAAUGGAAAAGAAAUAGACUUUGAUGCCAUAGAAUAUAUAUCACCUACUACAAAUAUCACACGGAUAGUGUCAGAAGUGUCGGGUGGUUCAUUAACAAUUGAUGAGACAUCAGACUACGACGUGGCAAUAUACCAGUGUUCUGCAUACAACAGACUAGGUAGAUCACUGUCAAAAAAGGUUCAGAUGAUUAAAGCCGUAAAUGAACCGUUUCCCUCAGUGACAGUUCCGAAGAGAGUGAGUGUUGUCGUGGGGAACUCGGCGACGUUAACUUGUAGUCCACCUCUAAGUAUUCCCAAAGCAAUAGUGUACUGGACCGACACCAAUGACCCGUCCAGUGCAGGGUCAAGGAUCAAGCUGGAUGACCGAGUCGUCAUGGAUUAUUCUGGAAAGUUGCAUUUUGCCAAUGUGAUACCAUCGGACAAUAGGAAUGGCGAGGCCUACGUGUGUAACGCCUGGCAGAAAAGUGUCUUUAGAUCCUUCCUUCAGGGCGACGACAAAAUCAUACAAACCAAAGGAUCUAUGGGUAAAUUUCCAGUGAGUAAGAUGUGGAACUCCAAUAGAACAGUGACUGGACUCCUGGGUGAAACGGCAAAGUUCAUGUGUAUAUUUGCCGGCAAUCCUACUCCUAAGAUAAUCUGGAAACACAGUGGCAGUCUCAUGGAAAACACUGGACAUGAGCUCAUAAUCAAAAACCUCAAAUACAGUCACCAGGGAGACUACGAGUGUGAAGGGCAAAACAAGCUCUCCAAGGGCAUCACGGUCACAUUUUCUCUCACCAUCCAGUCGAAGCCAUCUUGGGCUACACCACCAGUGAAUCAGGACGUGGGAGUGACGGAAGAUGCUACAUUUCAAUGUAUACCACAGGGUCUACCUAAACCCACAGUGGAGUGGUUCAUCAACGGCAAACCUAUCAGUGAAGUACCAGCUACUCGGAGGACCCUAGCUAACGAUGUACUGACAUUCCAGAAUUUAGAUAAACAAGAUUCUCAGGUGAUACAGUGCCUAGCAACCAACAAACAUGGCACCUUAUGGGCAGACGUAUACCUCAAUGUCCUCGCCUACGCACCUGAGAUCACCAGUGGCCCCGGACAGCUGACCGUAGCUGAACGCCAGUCUGUGACCUUGACUUGUGUCAAUGAUGGAAAACCACAGCCUGUACUGACGUGGAACAAGGGUGCACAAAUCCUUCGUGGGACCCGGUACACACAGACCGGAUCGUCUAUAACCAUCGCAGAUGUGUCCAGUGGGGAUGGCGGCACCUACACCUGUGCGGCUACCAACGUUUACGGCACUAAAUCUAGUACCGGCUCCCUAACAGUACGAAAGAGAACACGCAUCGUCUCGGCUCCUCUGGACAAAAAUGUCACGUAUCCGAGCCCAGUGAUCUUCAAAUGUCAAGCAUUCACAGACAGUGCAGAAUCUGAUAAUCUUAAAAUCAGUUGGCUGAAAGAUGGCGUUCCCUUUGAUAUAAGUGAUCCUAACAUUGAGAUGAGGCCGGAUGGCUUCAAGAUCAAGGAGACAUCUAGUGCUUACACUGCUAACUAUACCUGCUGGGCACACAAUGGCAUAGACGAGGCCAAGUCUGUGGCCCAACUCAAAGUCAGAGCACCCCCAGAUCCAUCCAGCAACAUCUUUAUCCUUAACUGUGAUGCCAGGAGUGUAUCGCUGCGCUGGACAAAGUCCAGGGAUAAUUUUUCACCAAUACAGCGUUACGUGGUAGAACAACACAACGGAUUCAAUCCUGGCCAGUGGAAGUUUCUGGCUGAAACUGACGGUACUGUGACAGAGGUCAAUGCUGAACUCUCCGCAUGGGUGAAUUACACGUUUAGAGUAAAGGCGGUCAAUGAUUUCGGGGAAGGAAUGCCAUCUGACCCAACAGGUACUGUCUGUAGAACGCAGAAAGAUUAUCCUGACAGGCACCCAGAAAAUGUCCACAUCAUCGACAACAAGCCAAACUUCCUCAUCGUGGAGUGGGAUGCCAUGGACCCUAUUCUACACAAUGCUCCCGGGUUCCAGUACAAACUGACGGCCAAGAACAAGAAAACCGGCUUCACCCAUCAGUUUGUCUUUGAUGACUAUCUGGAAACGCGUAAGGAAAUUCAGACUGGUGACGUGUUCCAGGAGUAUGAGAUCUACGUUAUGGCUGUCAAUGAAAUAGGCAAUGCAGUGCCCGUACCACUGACCAAUAUAGGACACUCCGGAAUGUCAGUGCCUAUAGUGGUCCCAGGGAACUUUGAAGUUGACCCUGACGUAAAUAUGACAUAUGAUGAUGCAGGAUUCCGCUGGGAUCCAGUCGACGACAGUCCAGAGUCAAUGCAAGGCAAAUUUGAAGGCUACAAGAUUCGAUACUGGACACCAGAUAAUCCCGACAAGAAAUUUGAGGUCAUUGUGCGCAAAGAGUUCUUACAAGGGGAGAGAAGCAGGAGGGCAACAUUGAAGGAGACAGCCAGGGUGAAAAAUCUACCAGCGUACACCCCUCUUCUGCUGGACGUGGUCGCCAUCAACACUUACUUCGAAUCCAACAGCAGCAAUGUGCUGAACCUGACGACACCAGAGGGCGUACCGGACAAGGUGAGACGCCUGCGUGCCACGAGUCGUGGUGUGGUAUAUAUCAAACUGUCAUGGGAGGAACCAGAACGACCCAGCGGCAAAAUUACUGGCUACGAAGUCUCGUAUGAAGAAAUACAUGGUCUGACAUUGGGGAAUACCAUCAUAUCAAACGAUACAAUCAUUGAGUUAAAUGGUGGACUCAUCACAAGAGUUAACGGAUUGAACGAGAAUACACAAUACAGAAUCCAUGUUCAGGCAAAAACUGGCGAAGGACUUGGGGAGGACAUGUACAUUGAUGUAAUGACAGCGAUACCUGGUGAUCCAGCUAUUCCCAAGAUUGACACGAUCACCCCUCACUUUGACGCAAUCAACGUGUCGUGGACGAUCAACGCUAACCAUGAUCGCGCUGGCUAUAACCAUUACGUGGAAUACAGGCGUCAAGGAAACAACAAGUGGAGCGAGAUGCCCGGAGAGUUGAUGAAGUCGUGGCAGCUGGUACCCAACCUCACAUCUGGCGUCACUUAUGAAGUCCAAGUGGUAGCGACCAGUGGACAGGAAAUCAAGAGGAGUAGUAUCCGCACUGUCGCCACGCUUGGGGCACAAGUUGCCUACACUCCGGAGGUAUAUGAAAGUCUAUGGUUUAUUAUCAUGCUGGUGGCCUUAGCACUCCUCAUUAUCAUCUUUAUCAUCGUGUGCCUUGUAAAGCGAAGUCGGGGAGACAAAUACCAUGUACAAGAAAAUGAAAGACUUAAAGGAAUACCCCCAGAAGAUAAGAAAUCAGCACUUGUUAAUGAUUUUAAUGAAAAUGGUGAGAAGCAGCCUUUAGCGGGUAGCUCCGACCCUGACCUUGAGAAGGCUGGCCUUGACAGUGAACAAGACAGCUUAGAGGAAUAUGGGGAUGUAGACCCCAGUCGAUUUAACGAGGACGGGUCAUUUAUAGGACAAUAUGGAGCCCAGAAUGUUUCUACAGCAGACGAAACUCAGCCCUCCGCCAUGCACACAUUUGUCUGAUUGGUUUGGAUUCCUAGUGUCAUAGCAACAAGGCCAAGUAAUUACUGUAUUGUCAUAGCAACAAGGCCAUAAACAUUACAUUGGAUUUUGUGGUAUCAAAUUACUGUAUCAGCAGCAAUGUGAGAAUUGCAGCAGAAUCCUUAGUAUCAUUUACUGUCAUAGCAACAAGGCCAAGCAUUUACUGUAGUCAUAGCAACAAGGCCAAACAUUCCAGUGGGAUUCAUAAUAUCAAAAUGCUGAAGUGUUCCCUCUACCAUGUUACAGAUACAUGGGAAAACUUAUCUGAAAUGUGUCUAGUCAAAACCACAAACGGCAGGAGCACAGUCUCUGGUCAAGGAUAACUCUCCAGAAUAUUACAAAUGAUUGCUUGUGAUACUGAGUCUGGUGUGCAAUUUUUUCAUUAGUCAUGUGAUUCCUAGUAACCAUGGAUACAUGUAUCAUCUCAUACUUUGUCAUAUUCAGCCAAAGCCUUUCUGAUUGGUCUCAGUGUCAGCACCAAGUGUUCUCCGAGGUUUAGUCUCGCAACAUAACGCUUCUGGAAAACUGAAAGUCACAGACUCCUUAGAGUGAACUUCAAAUCAGUGUUGUCUUGUGGGGAGUUCUCGGAAAAAGUCCCAGUAUUGAUGUUUUUGCUUACAUAAUAUUUAUGCAUAAAUGUUAUGUAACUGGGUGGAAGUGUUACAUAAGUGCAUCAAUCUGCAGCAAACUGUGUAUCUCUCACACAAUCUACAAUACCAUAUAAUAUAUAUAUAGAAGUGUUAGAUUUUCUUUGUCUGUGGAUUUUAUUUAAUUUUCUUAUUUAUUUAUUAAUAUUGAAUUAUGAUAUAUAUAUGAUUACUCCAUUAAACAUGAAGUGGAGCGAGUGUAUCCACUGUAAGGUGGUGAAAUUGCAACCCUGCUUUACUGGCAAUGAGGAUGUCUGUACCAGUCCAUUUCUAGUGCAAUAUACAUACUAUCCACAAUCUACACGGACUGGUCGUGGUCCACAAGUAGUGGAUCCUAGCAAUCCGCGAGUAGUGAAAUACGGCGAUCCACAAGUAGUGGAUCCUAGCGAUCCGCGAGUAGUGAAAUACGGCGAUCCACAAGUAGAGGGUCAGACGUUGAUUAUGUGGAUUAAUUUCAAUGUUUGUGAUGAAGUUAUACCUUGUCCAUAACUAUAUGUACAUGUACGGCCAUGAUAAUUGUGCUUUUGUAGGUAUAUGUGUAUACGUGUGAGAGAACCUGACAUAUUUGUUACCGAAGAGUUUACUGCUGCAAUGACCUCCCUUUCAUUCCGUGUUUCCUGUUUGAUAAUCGUAUUCAUUUGGAUAUGUAUAGUGUCUGAUGAUAUAUUAAAAGUCAGAAAGUGUUUGCUACCUAAUGCCAUCAGCCAUUGUUACCGUGGUAACCAUAUAUCACUGCUGCCUUAUGUGUACAAUAAUGUUCCUGACUAAAAUUUGAGAUAAAUUUGUACUAUUACCAUAGUAAACAGACUAAUAUACAGUUCAAUCAAUGGGAAGUAAAAUUCAAACCAAUACAGACCUGGAAUCAUUUAUAGGGAGGAAGAGAACUAACUAUAUACAACAAAAUACGACACCUUGAAGACAGUAGGGUUUGUUUGAGAACAUGGUUCAAUUAACGCACUGAGGAAUGAAAGAGAUUUUUUGGGAUCAUGGUUAGAGAUAUGAUGAGAAUGAUUUAUAUCGUGGGUAACAACCUUGAUGAGUGAUAGUUUGUGAACAUGGGUGACCUUCUGGUGACCUUCUGGUGACCUUCUGGGAUGUAAGUGUUUGACAAUAUGGUGGACACCAUAAGGAACGAUAGACUGUUUGUUUGAGAUCGUUUGUAACGACCAGAAGAUAGAUUACCUGAUAACAUGGCUACAUAUAACACCACUUAACUCAUUCACCCCUAAAUUUCAUAAUGAACUAUUCCAACCUUUGAAUUGGAAGUGUUCAAAUGUGUCUUUAGGGGUGAAUGAGUUAAAGGAGUAGGAUCCCAUGCUGAAGCAGCUGUCCCUCCUAAAGGCUUACUUACACAUUAUGAUAACGAUGAUGAUAAAUUUCCGUGCAAAAAUCAAACUUGGCGAGCAGAAAAAUAAGCUUAAUUAACUUAAACAAUUGUGAUAAUUACUAUACUCACCAAAACCUCAUUCCAUUUCAAUAUAUUAUAUAGAAUGACGCAGCAGUUCAAACAGGGACCAAUCACAGCCCAGUAUCACUUCUGAUACAGGUUUAACUUUACACACAUACAUGUACUUAACACUAGACUUAACACACUUAGUUUAUACAGUGUUAACUUUAAACUCGUACUACACGUGUUAACUUUACACUCAUACUAAAUACCAAGUAUAAAAUUUAUUCAUAAUAAAUACAUUAAGUGUAGACUUUUCACACACAAUAGAAAUAUUUAAUUUUGCACAUAUGCAUAAUAGGAAGUGUAAACUUAACUCACUCACACUUACUACAAAAUGUAAACUUUACUCACCUACAGAAUACUUAUAUUACACAGUAAUUAGGUCAUGUACAUUGUAAGACUUACAGAGUGUCAACUUGUGUCAAAUCCAAUUGCUGUAUAUUAAUAAGCAAUAAAAUAUGUUUAAAUACAAAUACACAUUGGGUGUUAAAACGCAUAAGUGUAAAUUUGAUACACAAAGUGUUAACUUAAUUAACACAGUGUCAACUUAACACAAAGUGUCAACUUGACACAAAGUGUCAACUUGACCCAGUGUAUAUAACCUAGUCUUUAUACACUAUUUGUAUGUUGGUAGUGUAGUGACGUGUAAAACUAAGGGUAACGUAGUCUUGUUUCCUUUUUACAUGUGUUCUAACUCAUUAGCCUUUAUAAUGUCAUUAGAGCUGAUAAGUUAAUAUCUGGUGCCAUUGAUUUAUUUAAUAUCUAAUGUCAUUAGAUUUAAUAAGUUGGCAUCUAGAAUGUGUGUUCUAGGUUUUGGUGUAACAAUAUUCAAAUCGGAAACAUCCAGAGCUCGAUGGGCUACCUAAGCUGUGACUGAAAUUUCACGAGAAGAACAAUUAUAGCAGAAAUGUACAAAUGAUUUUUAAAAAUAUGUAUUUUAUUUAUAAUCUUUUGAUUAAGUUGACAAAUAGCAUCUUAUGAACCUGGGCACCACAUAUGUAACUUAAAUGAAAUGUCUCGCAUAAGAAAAGUAAUCGAGUCUCAUUAUAAUGGGAAUUGUGACCUAGGUAUCUUAGUUAUUAGACCAGUAGAUGUUCAACAAGUAACAGAAUACUACAGUGUAAUACAUCUCAUUUAGAACCCUUUUUUAUUCUAGUCAGAUAAUAGCUACAGUAUUAAAUGUUUUUAAGUUUUAUAUUCAAAACAGAACAAGGAGAGAGCCCAACAUCAGGGUAGUGUUUGUUAUUUGUGUGUUCUAUGUAAAAACCAUGGUUACCGUUAUAAACAUGAUAUUCUCUUCACUAUAUUAACUCUGCUGUACAAAGUAUUGACGUAAAUAAAGAUGUAAAUUUUGUUGAUAUCAUGUCACAUGAUGUAAUGGGUGUAAAUAGUGAGAUAUGGUGUGUGCUCUGAUAUUUUUAUAUGUGAUCUGAGUGAUUAAGGAGCUUGGAUGUGAUGCAGGUUGUUCCAUUAUCUAUAAAUGUAAGUUCAAAGUGACUCGAGUUAGAUUCAUGAUCUGUGUCAGUGAAAUGCUUUUGAAGGAUGUAACUUUCCAGAGACUUGAUUGUGAAAUUUUACUUCUUUGUCCUAUGAGGUCUUGCCUGCUAGUUCUUGUAUAAAUAUACAGCUGUGGCAGAAAUAACAGUCUUACCAGAAAGCGGACGAUGCGGUCUCUGUUCAAUAUGACAAACAGUUUAAAAUCUGCAAAAUAAGUGUGUAUGUCGUGGUUUCUAAGAUUCUAAGUUCAUGCUUACAAAGUUAUUUACAUAGAAAAUCAGUGCCUGUAAAUUUGAGAUCCCUAGACUAUUUGAGAUCAGCAUGACAAAAAGGCAAUAGGUGUCAAAUAUGGAAAGGAUUUCUUUUAACACUCGAUGAAACAGGAAAUAUUACUUCACAUAAACACAUGAAAAUUACUAGAAAUUGAAACUCCAUGUUUAACGCACAGGAAUGCUACACACCUACAGCAAAUGUAUCGCCAUCAUGUUGAUUUUGUGCAAUAUUUAUUUUUACUGAGAAAGGAACAAAACUUUGCGAGAAUGAAAUUUAAAGUGCUGUCAUAAUGUAUUUGAAUGAACGGUAGUAUGUAGUGAUGUAUACACUGGUUUGAAAAAUCAUUAUGUAACCAUAUAUAUAACGGGAUGUAUUUGUCCCUGAGUCUGCUUUCACUGUACUGUAUAUUGUUAGCAGAUAGUGUUAAGUGUCAUAUAUAUCAUUGUAAAACACCUUUUUUAUUCCAAUAAUAUUUGUCCUUACCACUAUAUGGUAUGCGUGUCCAUUUACUAUGAUUGAGAUUGUCACGGAGUCCAUACUCACCUUGAAAGUAAUAUGGUGUUGUGACCUGGCCACAUGGUCCGUAUUCACAUUAAAAGUAAUAUGGUAUUGUGACCUGGCCACAUGGUCCAUACUCACCUUGAAAGUAAUAUGGUAUUGUGACCAGGCCACAUGGUCCGUACUCACCUUGAAAGUAAUCUGGUAUUGUGACCUGGCCACAUGGUCCGUACUCACCUUGAAAGUAAUAUGGUAUUGUGACCUGGCCACAUGGUCCGUACUCACCUUGAAAGUAAUCUGGUAUUGUCAUACUCACAGUACUAGUCAUCAGCAGGCUGCAAUCACAUACUAAUUAUUCAUCUCAGCUUAAAUUAUAGGGACUGAAAAUGUUCCUUUCAUAUUAUUUGUCCACUGCCUAUUUCUGUCAUUCCAAUUCCAUACGAAAGCCCAAAACCUUUGAGAAAACACCCACACCUUCGAGAACGUAUCCCUACACUUUAAAGAAAGCCCCAGAUGUUAUAGAAAUCCUCACCCGUAGAAAGAAAUGUAUUAAGAAUGAAAUGGCUGUAGUAGGUAACCUAACACAAGGAAAUCCAUUACAACAUUGGUCCUAAGCUUCUCCUUAACAACGGUAGUUACCCAAUUCACUGACAGACCUGUGUAACACAAGGAAAUUCAUUACAACAUUGGUCCUAAGCUUCUCCUUAACAACGGUAGUUACCCAAUUCACUGACAGACCUGUGUCUAAACUUGAAAUCUCGAGUUGUAGAUAUAAUGAUAUUACUGUUUUUACUAAUUAAGAAAUGAAUGAAUCUCCUUUGCCAGUUUUCUGUCAACAAGCAUUUGAAUUCUAGCCGGAUGUAAACCACACAUAUCACUAUGACAACAGAAUGGUCUAUUGCAUUACAUUUUGAUAUUUUAAUACAUGUAGCAAAUGUAGUCUGUUCAAGACUGAUCUCUUAGAUAACGGUUCUCUGCUGACCAGUGUAAUCCAAUGCUGGUGGUCAAUAGUUUCCUUACUGACCAGUAUAAUCCAAUGAUGGUGGUCAACAGUUUCCUCACUGACCAGUGUAACCCAAUGCAGGUGGUCAGCAGUUUCCUCACUGACCAGUGUAACCCAAUGCAGGUGGUCAGCAGUUUCCUCACUGACCAGUGUAACCCAAUGCAGGUGGUCAGCAGUUUCCUCACUGACCAGUGUAACCCAAUGCAGGUGGUCAGCAGUUUCCUCACUGACCAGUGUAACCCAAUGCAGGUGGUCAGCAGUUUCCUCACUGACCAGUGUAACCCAAUGCAGGUGGUCAGCAGCUUGUAUAUGUAACUUGGAGGUGUUUUUUUAAUAAUAAUGAAAUAUGCCUUGGUAGAUACAUAUUACCCUUUGAGCAAAACAAUUGAAUGUAUCUGUAGCUUGUAAUCUCUGUUCUCAGGAUUAAAUAUCUCUAAAAGAUCCUAUAACUAUUUUUUGAAAAUGUAACAUUCAACACAUCUAAAGAAGAGGUCAUGUGACUAGAGACCUCUUAAAAAAAGCAGGUCAUGUGACUUACAGCUUACACCGUGGUUGUAACUUGUGUAUAUAUCUGUAUUGGCACUUUUAGGAGUUAAGUUGUGAAGUUAAACUGCUUUGUCAAGCUUACCUCUAACAAAGACAGUCAUACAGAGGUAAAACGUUUU